rnacentral:rRNA from 1 species
GACGAACGCUGGCGGCGUGCUUAACACAUGCAAGUCGAACGGAAAGGCCCUGCUUUUGUGCGGUGCUCGAGUUGCGAACGGGUGAGUAGCCCGUGGGUAACCUGCCCUUGACUUUAGGAUAACUUCAGGAAACUUGGUCUAAUACCAGAUAGGAGCUCCUGCUGCAUGGUGGGGGUUGGAAAGUUUCGGCGGUUGGGGAUGGAAUCGCGGCUUAUCAGCUUGUUGGGGGGGUAGUGGCUUACCAAGGCUUUGAAGGGUAGCCGGCCUGAGAGGGUGACCUGCCACACUGGGACUGAGAUACGGCCCAGACUACUACGGGAGGCAGCAGUGGAGAAGAUUGCACAAUGGGCGGAAGCCUGAUGCAGCAACGCCGCGUGCGGGAUGACGGCCUUCGGGUUGUAAACCGCUUCCGCCUGUGACGAAGCGAGAGUGACGGUAAUGGGUAAAGAAGCACCGGCUAACUACGUG